rnacentral:rRNA from 1 species
AUUGAACGCUGGCGGCAGGCCUAACACAUGCAAGUCGAACGGUAACAGGAAGAAGCUUGCUUCUUUGCUGACGAGUGGCGGACGGGUGAGUAAUGUCUGGGAAACUGCCUGAUGGAGGGGGAUAACUACUGGAAACGGUAGCUAAUACCGCAUAACGUCGCAAGACCAAAGAGGGGGACCUUCGGGCCUCUUGCCAUCGGAUGUGCCCAGAUGGGAUUAGCUAGUAGGUGGGGUAACGGCUCACCUAGUCGACGAUCCCUAGCUGGUCUGAGAGGAUGACCAGCCACACUGGAACUAAGACACGGUCCAGACUCCUACGGGAGGCAGCAGUGGGGAAUAUUGCACAAUGGGCGCAAGCCUGAUGCAGCCAUGCCGCGUGUAUGAAGAAGGCCUUCGGGUUGUAAAGUACUUUCAGCGGGGAGGAAGGGAGUAAAGUUAAUACCUUUGCUCAUUGACGUUACCCGCAGAAGAAGCACCGGCUAACUCCGUG